rnacentral:tRNA from 1 species
GGAGGGAUGGCAGAGUGGUUGAAUGCACCGGUCUUGAAAACCGGCGUAGGUUAAUAGCCUACCCAGGGUUCGAAUCCCUGUCCCUCCGCCA